GAGAGAGAGAGAGAGAGAGAGAGAGAGAGAGAGAGAAAUAUGUACACUAUCGGCUGCACCUGAACUUGAUGACCUGUACAUGUGUCCAUAUCCCAAUGACAAAACUGGAACAAAGACACACAGAAAAUGACCAGUCAAAAUGUGAGGCCUAUCUCAAUGGAAGUGAAUGAGAAACCAGAGAAGUGUAUUUUUAUUGACUUUGGACCUCUGCUGUGAAAUGUCAGG